AUGCUGCGUUUCUUCUACCCAGAAUGCUGCAGUGAGAGGAAGUGGUCUCUGCUUACGCUGAAGCUCAGGGCUGUCCACCCAAUCAGUAUAACAGCGCAGGCAGAGAGGACGAGGAGCGCAGACGGGAGAGAACAGACAGCGAAGAUGGUGACGCGGAGCGCUCUGCGCGACAAGACCUCCUUAAAACCAAGAAUAUUAUCGACGAGGAUGGCGUCGACCCGUCCAGAUGAAAGAGCAGGUCGCAACGGUGGGAACAUGGAAUCAGAACAACUGGAUGAAAGAUGAUGGCGUUUCGUUCAGUCUCAUAUCAUGUAAAUGUUUCUGAUCUGCCAAACGUCAAAGAAAGAUGAGGAAAAGAAUUUUCGCUAUGACGUUUACCUGAAGAGGAAGCUUCACCAAAGUUUCAAGGAACAGAAGACUGCUCUAACCAAUUCUGGACAGUCAAGUGGACACUACUGCUUAAUGAGGAAGAUGGCGGCUCAUGUUUUGCUUUUGGAUUUGGAAAGAGACAUUUUAUUUGUUUUUGAUUUUGCUGUGAUAUUUUAAUUCAUUUGCUAAUGUGCUUAACAAUUGUAUGUGUCUUUUCAUACUUUACUGCAUUGUUGUUUUGAUGAAAUGCCUGUAUUUUAAAUUUAAAAAUGCUUAUUUGCCUUUUUAAAAAUAAAAAUAAAAAAAUUCGUGAUUGAACA
ensembl:lncRNA